GAUGAAGAACGUAGCGAAAUGCGAUAAGUAAUGUGAAUUGCAGAAUUCAGUGAAUCAUCGAAUCUUUGAACGCACCUUGCGCCCUUUGGCUAUUCCGAAGGGCAUGCCUGUUUGAGUAUCGUGAACACCUCAACUCUCAUGGUUUGCCAUGAUGAGCUUGGACUUUGGGGGUUUUGCUGGCCUUUGGUUGGCUCCUCUCAAACGGAUCAGCUUUCCAGUGUUUGGUGGCGUCACGGGUGUGAUAACUAUCUACGCCUGUGGUUUUCUGCCAGAUAACCUUCAGCGAUGGAGGUUCGCUGGGGCUCAUAAAUGUCUCUCUUCAGUGGAGACAGCUUUUUGGACGUUUGAUCUCAAAUCAGGUAGGACUACCCGCUGAACUUAAGCAUAUCAAUAAGCGGAGGA
rnacentral:misc_RNA from 1 species